rnacentral:rRNA from 1 species
UACGAAGGGGGCUAGCGUUGCUCGGAAUCACUGGGCGUAAAGCGCACGUAGGCGGCUUCUUAAGUCAGGGGUGAAAUCCUGGAGCUCAACUCCAGAACUGCCUUUGAUACUGAGGAGCUUGAGUCCGGGAGAGGUGAGUGGAACUGCGAGUGUAGAGGUGAAAUUCGUAGAUAUCAAGCGGAACACCGGUGGCGAAGGCGGCCUUCUGGACAGUGACUGACGCUGAGACGCGAAAGCGUGGGGAGCAAACAGG